GUAGGGGAGCAUCAGCUUCCUAAGCUGAAUGUCGUGGGUUCGAUUCCCAUGGCCCGCUCCA
rnacentral:tRNA from 1 species